AGCUCUUGACAUGCCUCGACGGUAUCCGGAGACGGAUGCCUUCCUUCGGGACGAGUGCAC
rnacentral:rRNA from 1 species